rnacentral:rRNA from 1 species
AACGAACGCUGGCGGCAUGCCUAACACAUGCAAGUCGAACGAGACCUUCGGGUCUAGUGGCGCACGGGUGCGUAACGCGUGGGAACCUGCCCUUAGGUCCGGAAUAACUCCCCGAAAGGGGUGCUAAUACCGGAUAAUGUCUUCGGACCAAAGAUUUAUCGCCUUUGGAUGGGCCCGCGUUGGAUUAGCUAGUUGGUAGGGUAAAAGCCUACCAAGGAGACGAUCCAUAGCUGGUCUGAGAGGAUGAUCAGCCACACUGGGACUGGGACCCGGCCCAGACUCCUUCGGGGGGCAGCCGUGGGGAAUAUUGGACCAUGGGCGGAAGCCUGAUCCAGCAAUGCCGCGUGAGUGAUGAAGGCCUUAGGGUUGUAAAGCUCUUUUACCCGGGAUGAUAAUGACAGUACCGUGAGAAUAAGCUCCGGCUAACUCCGUG